UUGGUCAAGCUACUAAGGGUGUACGGUGGAUGCCUUGGCGCAGAGAGGCGAUGAAGGACGUGGCAAGCUGCGAUAAGCCUCGGGAGCCGCAAGCAGGCUUUGAUCCGGGGAUGUCCGAAUGGGGCAACCC
rnacentral:rRNA from 1 species